rnacentral:rRNA from 1 species
UCGAGAAUCUUCGGCAAUGCGCGAAAGCGUGACCGAGCGAUGCCGCGUGCGGGAUGAAGGCCCUCGGGUUGUAAACCGCGAAAGUGAGGAGGAAGGCCCUGUGAAGAGCAGGUUUUGACCGAUCCACAGUAAGGACGGGCUAAGUUCGUGCCAGCAGCCGCGGUAACACGAACCGUCCAAACGUUAUUCGGAAUUAUUGGGCUUAAAGGGUGCGUAGGCGGCGCGUUAAGUCGGGUGUGAAAUGCCUCAGGUCAACUGAGGAACUGCGCCCGACACGGGCGUGCUCGAGGGAGACAGGGGUAAGCGGAACUGAUGGUGGAGCGGUGAAAUGCGUUGAUAUCAGCAGGAACACCGGUGGCGAAAGCGGCUUACUGGGUCUCUUCUGACGCUGAGGCACGAAAGCUAGGGUAGCGAACGGGAUUAGAUACCCCGGUAGUCC